rnacentral:rRNA from 1 species
GAUGAACGCUGGCGGCGUGCCUAAUACAUGCAAGUCGAGCGAACAGAUAAGGAGCUUGCUCCUUUGACGUUAGCGGCGGACGGGUGAGUAACACGUGGGUAACCUACCUAUAAGACUGGAAUAACUCCGGGAAACCGGGGCUAAUGCCGGAUAACAUUUAGAACCGCAUGGUUCUAAAGUGAAAGAUGGUUUUACUAUCACUUAUAGAUGGACCCGCGCCGUAUUAGCUAGUUGGUAAGGUAACGGCUUACCAAGGCAACGAUCCGUAGCCGACCUGAGAGGGUGAUCGGCCACACUGGAACUGAGACACGGUCCAGACCCCUACGGGAGGAAGCAUUAGGGAAUCUUCGCCAAUGGGCGAAAGCCUGACGGAGCAACGCCGCGUGAGUGAUGAAGGUCUUCGGAUCGUAAAACUCUGUUAUUAGGGAAGAACAAAGGUGUAAGUAACUGUGCACGUCUUGACGGUACCUAAUCAGAAAGCCACGGCUAACUACGUG